CGCUGGCCAAACCUCGUUGUCAAAGCCUGAGCUCGUCAGAUCUCAGACGCUAAGCAGGGCUGGGCUGGUUAGGACUUGGAUGGGAGACUGAGAAUAUCAAAUACCACAGUGC
rnacentral:rRNA from 1 species